GCUCACUUGGAGCUAUGGAGACAGUGAAAAGAGGUCUCUUCAUCUAUAUUCUGAAUGUAGGAGGCUGCGAAAGCAAGCAUUUGAAACAGGCACAAAGUUAUGUGAGAAGAUUGAGAAGGAUGAGAUCUCUACCCUGUCCCACAGGUUUUGCACAUUAGGGAAUAACGAAGGAUAAGGGACCCUGUGGAAAAAGGAGGACUUCGGAGUCAUGUGGGGGAAGACCUUCGGGUAAGGCCUACUUUGGAAGAACACCUGGCCUCUGACCUGGCGGACCUAGGUGACCUCUACGUUCUUCCAAUCAUCUCGGCAAGAAAGAUGGAGCUUGGAUGAUUUACUUAGAGCAUGUGCAAGAGAGAGAGGUAGAUAUUACGAUCUGGAGAGAGGUCUAUUGGAUACUUACAGAGGUAUAUAUGUAUUUCACGAAGUUUUGUAAAUAUUAUAUACCUUCUAAACAAAUUGAAGUUAGAAUCCCAUAGGAAACAUAUUUUGAAAGAAAAAUUUUUUCCAGUCCAAAACUUAAGAUGGAAGUGCAAUUGUUGUAGAGUCUUAGAAGUUAUUUAAAUGGGCUAAUUGACUUACUAAAGAUCAUCCAAAGGAUUACUUACUUAAAUUAAGUUUAAUAAGAGUUUGUGUGUACAUUUUAACAGCCUAGAGUUGGUUGGAUUAGCUUUGGAUAAAACAAAACAAUGAUAUCAUUUCUAAUUCUACACUGCAAGUAGAGGUACUUUUCUAAAAUUAAUAUAUAAUAUUUAUUUUUAAAAGUAACUGUUAGAGAAAACAGAACCCAUAAAUGAAGUUCUUCAUAGCUAAUAGACGUGAAAGUAUACAAAUUGUGCCAAUUUUUGAAAGCAGUUAACAAUAAAAAAGAGCUUGCCAAGCUUUUGCCAAACAGACAAUGAAGAUGGGACUAGCCCAGAAAAUACAGCCGAAAGAGAACAGACUGAGUCAGCAACAUAACAGGUCAAAACAAAAAUUAAACAACCCUGUAACUUUAGGUGUCCUAAUAUGCAUCUGUGUAUCACCGUAAGAAGUGAAGAAUGGUUAAUGGCUACUAGUCGGCUACCCCCUCUUGCCGAUAUUUUGCACUGUUAUUAUUCCUCAGAGCUUUUAAAAUGAUAAGUUACUUUGUCUUGAAUCCCACUGAUAAAAAAGGAAUUUGUAAACGAGGGCAGAAGUUUUCUUUGGUGAGUUUCCAGCAGUCCUGGAAGAGAAGAGGGAUUGGGCGGUGGGGGGGAGGAGGAAAGUCCUCAAGUUGAAUGAAAUCCCCAAGGAGAGAAUAAUACAGAAAGUCUGGACUGCAAUACGAUACUUGGUGAACUUUAAAGUCUGGUCCCUUAAAGUAAGCUCUGGUAACAAAUCUACUAUGAUCUCCAAAAAGUUAAAAUAAUAAUGAUGAUGAUGAUGAUGACGAUGAUGAUGAUAUACCCUAAAACCUUUUUAUACACUAAAAUAUAUCCUAUUAAUUU